rnacentral:pre_miRNA from 2 species
UCUUAUGGAUGAGCAAAGAAAGUGAUUUCUUGAAAUGGAAUAUACUCCUAGUGAAGAUGCUGUGAA